rnacentral:rRNA from 1 species
UGGGGAAUCUUGGACAAUGGGGGCAACCCUGAUCCAGCCAUGCCGCGUGAGUGAUGAAGGCCUUAGGGUCGUAAAGCUCUUUCGCCUGUGAAGAUAAUGACGGUAGCAGGUAAAGAAACCCCGGCUAACUCCGUGCCAGCAGCCGCGGUAAUACGGAGGGAGCUAGCGUUGUUCGGAAUUACUGGGCGUAAAGCGUACGUAGGCGGCUUGGUAAGUAGAGGGUGAAAUCCCGGAGCUCAACUCCGGAACUGCCCCCUAAACUGCUGAGCUAGAAUCCUGGAGAGGUGAGUGGAAUUCCUAGUGUAGAGGUGAAAUUCGUAGAUAUUAGGAAGAACACCAGUGGCGAAGGCGACUCACUGGACAGGUAUUGACGCUGAGGUACGAAAGCGUGGGGAGCGAACAGGAUUAGAUACCCUGGUAGUCCACGCCGUAAACGAUGGGGUGCUAGGUGUUGGGUAGCUUGCUAUUCGGUGACACACCUAACGGAUUAAGCAUUCCGCCU